rnacentral:rRNA from 1 species
GAUGGACGCUAGCGACAGGCCUAACACAUGCAAGUCGAGGGGCAGCAUGAAAGUAGCUUGCUACUUUUGAUGGCGACCGGCGCACGGGUGCGUAACAGGUGUGCAAUCUGUCCAUAAUCGGGGAAUAGCCCAGCGAAAGUUGGAUUAAUGCUCCAUGUGAGUUUUAGAGGCAUCUCUUUAACUUGAAACGUAAGGAUUAUGGGUGAGCACGCUUCUGAUUAGGUAGUUGGUGAGGUAACGGCUCACCAAGCCGACGAUCAGUAGGGGUUCUGGGAGGAAGGUCCCCCACAUUGGAACUGAGACACGGUCCAAACUCCUACGGGAGGCAGCAGUGAGGAAUAUUGGUCAAUGGACGCAAGUCUGAACCAGCCAAGUCGCGUGAAGGAUGAAGGUUCUAUGGAUUGUAAACUUCUUUUGUCUGAGGGUAAAAAAGCGGACGUGUCCGUUCUUGCAAGUAUCAGACGAAUAAGCAUCGGCUAACUCCGUGCCAGCAGCCGCGGUAAUAC